ensembl:lncRNA
AAUCAGCCUGCAGGUCUGUAGAGCGAGACCAGCGCCCUGAGAGAGCAGAAGCCCAUCAGCCUGGAGGUUCCCGCACCUUCACUGUGCCACCUGUCAGACCACAUAAGGGAGUGCGGUGGCGCAGCGGGUUUGGCCUGUGCCUGCUCUCUGGUGGGUCUGGGAUUCGAGUCCCGCUUGGGGUGCCUUGAGACGGACUGGCAUCCCAUCCUGAGUGUGUCCCUCCCCCUCCAGCCUUACGCCUUGUGUUAUCAGGUUCCUGUGACUCAGUGGAAACCACACGAGGCGGCUGAGAAACGACACCCGUUGGAUGGAACGUUUAACCCGCAGGUGUCAUUUUUCAAUUUGCUUCAUCUUGACCCACCACAGGAAGUACGAGACCCCCUGCUUGCAAGGAGAGACAAAGUCCGCUGAUGCACAGCGAUGUACUGUCGUUGGGCUCUGGUUCUCUGGAUGCUGAUGUUGUGGUGUCAAGACCAUCUGUCCGAGAGCUACACUGUAACCUACAGGCCUAGGAAUGAAUCAGAGCUAUCUACUGUCCUUGCCCACACUUCAGCUUCAGAAGAAAUCAGCAUCAGCAGAAAUCCGGUUUCAGGCAAUUUGUCAGAGAUUCCCAACAGUGCAAGUGCAGCAUCAAAAGAUGCUCCUGUCAGAGUAGACCCAAACUUGGAGCAAACUGGCACCAGUGAUGACUCAGCAUCCCCCAGUACCCUGCCUUAUGGGGGAGUCCAGAGCACUUCCAUGGAACUGGUGACACUCACUGUAACUGCUAGCACGCAGCUGGGGUCUCAGUUUACCACUCCUCCAACAUCUCAAGAAGAAACAAAGCACAUCACCGUGACAAUGGACCAGAACACCACACAGGCCGAGACAUUCAGCUCUUUGCCCGAGGUCAAGCAAAGUGUAACAUCGCCAGUCAUCCCAAGUGCAGCGCCGCAAGAUGACCUCACCACUUAUCGACAGACCACACACGUGUACAAGAGAUAUUCCACAUCUCCCAGCAUCACCAUGGAGGACAAUCACUUGGGUCACUCCACACAAAUCAUAGAGAAGACAACCUGGGUCCCCUCAGCCAAAACAGAGAGAAAAGGCUCAGCCCAGGUGACCUCCACCUUGCCUAGCCAGACCAAUAGAGUCCCACUCUUGAUCAGCUUCAUGACUGAGAAACAUACAAGAGGCUUGACUGUCUCUAAAUUGGAAAACACAACACCAGCCCUGCUCCUCAACACCCAGGUGACCACUCAGCCUUCUUCUCCCUCUUGGCCCUGGACACUGGGCUACCGUUCUCCAACCAGCCCACAGAGCCAAGGAUCCACGAGCCUCCCUGCUCCUAGUCCUAAACGUACACUUAGCAGUAGUGCUGCCUCUUCCCCAGGUUCAACCAGAAAAGUCUCUCUGACCUGGACAACUCCAUUCCCCACCACAGAAACAUGGAACACCUACCAUCCAACUAACAUCAGCCAAACUAUCCAAACCACUAUUAUCACCAUUUCGGACAAGACGCUCCCAACAUCAAGAGCAGCCACACUGAGGAAGAUCUCCCCAGGGGUGCUGAGAUCAACGGUCAAAAUAACACCGCAACAAAGAGACAUAACAAACAUUGAGGAAAACAUCCACGGGAAGAGAUGGAACAAAGUGGUGGUCCCGAUCUCCUGCACAGCCGUGUUCCUGGCAAUACUUGUUCUCAUUGGGUGGUUCUUUUCAAGAAAACGACACUUCAGGCAGAGGAGGCUGCGCAACUCCACAUGGGCCGGAUUUUCUCCGUUCCUGAACAGCACCAGGAAGUCUGCUGGGUCCCCACGCAAACACUUCCAGUGGCAGCAGUCCCGACAGGUAACCCUGGCCUCCAUCCUCUUGAGGCCCGUCCCCUGGGACACGAGGAGUGAGAACAUCCUGGUGGUCGAGGCUCCUAUGGUGGGAACCACAUUUGGAAAGCAUCAGGAUCUGAAUGACGCCAGUGGCACUCAGGAUCUCCAUGUGACAAAGGGUCUAUCAGGGGACAGCCCUGCACCAGAAACACCCACCACAACAUCCACAACACCAUCCAUGGCCACACCCCCAACACCACCUAGGUCACCACAUACACUACCAACAACAAUGCCCCCCAUGGCACCACCCAUAGAACAGGCUGUGGCCACACCCAUGCCUAUGGCACCACCCAUGGCACGAUCUACAGACCACCUAGUGUGACUGACUGCCAAUGUUCUCCCCAGACCCUUCCUCCAUGACCCAAAGCAGACAGCCACAGGGACAGGAAAGGCAGGCACUGAGCCACAAAGGCUCUCUGCUCCGACCCAAACGUAACCUGUGGGUGUUGGCAGACAUGCUUCCCCAACACCAGGUGACCAUCACCUAGGUGACCUUCAACAUGCGCAGCGCCAUCCAAAUCACCCCCAACUCAGGAAAACCAAUGAUAUCAAAUCAUUUGAAUACAGUACAAAGUUACCAGCGCUAACAAAUAAUGUGCUGCUUACAAUACCACACCUCUUCCUGCUACAGUGCUUCCUCAGCUUAUAAACGCAUUCGAGAUUGGAAGCCUAUUCUUAACUCACUUGUUUGUAAAUACAAAGUCACCUUUACCACUUAUCAAUAAAUAAAAGCUUAGUAAUACA